AGGGCUGUGGCUCAGUGGCAGAGCAUCUGCUUCGCGUGCAGAAGGUCCCAGGUUCGAACCCUAGCAUCUCCA